rnacentral:rRNA from 1 species
ACGGAGGGUGCAAGCGUUAUCCGGAUUUAUUGGGUUUAAAGGGUCCGUAGGCGGACUUGUAAGUCAGUGGUGAAAUCUCAUAGCUUAACUAUGAAACUGCCAUUGAUACUGCAGGUCUUGAGUAAAUUUGAAGUGGCUGGAAUAAGUAGUGUAGCGGUGAAAUGCAUAGAUAUUACUUAGAACACCAAUUGCGAAGGCAGGUCACUAAGAUUUAACUGACGCUGAUGGACGAAAGCGUGGGGAGCGAACAGG